GAGCGGGAGAUAGAGGGAGAGAGAGAGAGAGAGAGAGAUUUCUAAGUUCUAAGGAUUUGCCUUGUUCCAGGGAAGUUUAUGCCUUUAAGGCUUUAACAGCCAAGACAGAAGCAAAGACGGCAGUGUUCUGAGCGUCAGCACCUCAAGCCCUGGUGUCCAGGCUGUAAGAAGGCCGGCGGCGCGGCGCAGGUCGGGAGCCCCCAUCCCUGGGACGGGGACAUGGCCGGCCUGGGCGCGGUCCCUUACCUCUCGCGUCCGGCUUUAACAGCAGCGCGUGUCCCAGGAAGGGGUAGGCGCCCUCCAAGGUUGGGACGGCACGCAUCUGCUGCCAUGUCCACGCGUAGCUCGCCACCAUCCGCAGGAGGUUCAGGGUGAGGAUGGCGCCCGCCAGGGAGACCGCGCACAACCCGCCCCAGAGCAGCAACUUCUGCCCGACGCUCAGCAGCCACAGCGCCAGCAUCGCGCCUGCGGGCCGCUCUGCACCCGGACUGAGACUGCGGGGACCGCGGGGCGGGAUGUUCGGGGCGGCGGGCGCGGUGCAGCCCCGGGAGGUCAAGGGCGCCGGCCCCGGGCGGAGCUCCCGGCCUCUCGAAACUCGGGCGGGAGCAGGAGGCGUCGCCGGCCCCGCUCACUUCCCCGUGCGGCCGGAGGUGGGCACAGGUCCGGCCGCCCUGAAGCGGGGGCAGCCCUGCUUCUCGGGACUAGGUUGGGGCCUCCGAGGCUCCUCGACAAGGCACCGCGGGGGCUGUUAGGGGCUCGGCCCAAGCCUACGUCACCGGCCUCUUUUGUUUGCUUCGAGCGGAAAACGAAAGUCCGGGAAACGAGCGCUCUGUAGGCCGCGCUGCUGUAGACGGCGGCACGUUAGUGGGUGGAGUGGGGAGGAUACUGAAGGUGAGAUGGAAGGCGGCUUAGUGACGGAGAGGCGCCCCGGGGCCAGAGGGGCCGAGCUUCGGCUCAUAGGCCCCCCUCUGCUGGGAACGGGACGACUCAGGCUAGAGUGCGCAGGAUGUUUUAAAGUGGAAAUAAAGAAGCAUCUGGUUUGAAA